GGCCAUCCACGUCAGCUCAAAAUAUUCCAACCAUCCGAUCGAAAAUCAGCGGUACACGCUCCUCCCACCUCUCCUGUACUGUUGCAAGAAAUAUCUUAAACUCCAGAGUCUUCUCGUCUCUCCUCGAUGCUGCAUAGUUCACCAGCUCCCCUCGGGCCCGGCUGCGGCACUCCAUGAGCCCCGCCCGCCACGGCCUUCGAUGCACACCUAGCUCCUCGCCACGCCGGCACCCUCAGCCGCCGGUGGAGGCGUGGACUUUGGCGCGGACACGCUGAUCUCCCGGCUCCGCCUGGCCUCAGCGCCGUCCGCGGCAUCCCGUGCCGCCGCACUGCUAGAGGAGCUGGUGGGUUCCAUGGCGGCACUGCAGCUCGAUGAUGAGUUGUAGCUGAUUCGGUGCAGCUCGUCGACGGCGGCGAGCUAUCUUCCGCAGCGCGGUGUGGACACGCGUGCAGCCACAUCGAGAAGAUAGUGCGACUAACGCGGCUACCUGGCGGACGCGACGCGCUGCCGAGGUCCGCGGUUAUCCUUCCGACAGCUGCCUCCCGACGUCCCCACCGGCGCGUCCUCCUCCAUUUCCAAAGCCUCCGCCUGUGAGCACACGCCCAGACACCACUGUUAGAUCCUCGUUCUGGGCCGCCGCGGCCUCGGCCGUCAUGGCGUACGCCGCACCCUCCCCGCCGACCAGCGCCGCCGCGCUCGGGAGGCAAAGCUAGAGGAACUCGCAUCCGCGCGCGGCCGUGUUCCUGGAGUUAUCGCCGGUGCUGCAGUUGGCGCCCCCGUGGAAGGCCGUCUGCCUACUACCCGAGCACAUGCUCGCUGUAUAUACGACGAAUUGUACAACUACAAGGUCCAAGUUCAGACCUUUUUGGCUCCCUCUUAACACACGAACGGACAGCUUGACAGGGACAACAAUUGUGCCGAAAGGGGUCUGGAUCGAGCUCCCCAAACGCAAUUGCCCCCUAUCCUUCAUGCAGUUUCAUUUGAUGCCAAAGGAGCCACAGCAAGUCAGCAACAACAUCCGUGCAGCAGUGAGUUGCAUCUUACACUUCAUAUUUUCUUUGUUCGCGGCCGUUCUUUUGUGCCUCUCUGAUGCAACGCAGCAAGACCAGCAUGCAGCUGUACUGCUGCAACUCCACCCCCUGCUGGCAACAAGUGCUUCGUCCAUGUAUGAUUUACGCCAUGUGUUUCAUGGUUUGCUUGUGCAAUCUAUGCUUCGGCCAUGAAGGAUGCAGGCUAUGUGUUUGAUGGUUUGCCUCUGCAACACUGACCAAUUAACCAUGCUAAGAUUUAGCUAACAAGGAGUCCUAUUUGAUGAAAAGAAGACACAUUCAAGCUACUUGCCUUGUCUAUGAGAUUUUCUGGCCAAGAUUUGUACCACUAGCUCUAGCUAAGGAGAGUUCGUGGUUGUAAAGAAGGCACCAGUAGGACAAGCCUAACAUGUAGCUCAGGUGUGCAUCUCUUUCUUUCUGAUUCGAUUCUGGUUUGUAUGGACAGGACAAAGGAUCGAGUACAUAUUUUCUUUAUUUACCUGCUUCUCUUGUGUUUAGUUAAUCCUCUACCCGUACUUUUCUGCAUUUGCAUACUCUAUUUCAGCAGUGCAAGGUGGAAUGAUUGACUGCAGCUAGAUCCGUAGUGCGCAAUGUGGUGCUGUGUGAAGAUGCAAUGGUAGCAGACAGAAAAGCUGCUUACUCAGCUGAUUGUGUGAAACCAGGUACAAAAGAGUGUGAAAACAGGUGUGCAAGGGUGUGAAAUCGGGGAAAAAAGUAUUCUUUGUAUGAUCACUGACAACACGGUUCACUACUUACUCGCAGCUAUUUGUGUUCCAAGUAUGAAAACAUUGACAAGUUAUGCUUUCUCUUGUCAUGUUGAUCAUAUAUAUGGUCUGUCAUAGAAGACUUCUUGGCCCAUGAUGACCUUGCACACGUCUCACAAAUUAUUCCAGAUCCGUAGCAUACAAGUGGACUUGCGCUUUUUCCAGGUUCUCCUCUCACUGUUUAUUCCGACUGUAUCCUCUUCUGGUAAUUUUUUUACCAAUAAUUUUUUCAAACGAUUCUGUGUAAAGCCAAGAAGCCAUGCGUUUUUCAUAAAAUUUUAACAUUCCAUGAUCAUUCAGCUUCUAACAGCUGCGUCACCAAAGAUGAGUAGUGCCAUUCAGUAGUUUGAAAGGAAAAUCUUUAUUACCAUCGCAUCAUGUACUAUGAUCUGGAUAUUUCUAUUUCUUACUAAUUUAUUUCUUCAGAAAUACCCACCUAAUAACUAUUUUACUAAUGGUGACAAUAAUGUUGCUCCAACACCAAAUCUCACAGGGAUCCUAACUUCCUGGACAUCUUCACUCCUUUUGUGAACAAAAACAGGCCCCUUGCGGAACUCUUUGUUUACCUAGAAUAACCAUAUGUAUAUUUUAGAUUUCUAUCUUAGACUAUGAAGCUGAUAGCUGUUAUCACAACAAAUGCUAGAACCCUAUGUUCUAUUGUAAUAUAACUGCAAAUGCUAAAACUUCUUGUAAAGUACUCUAAUAUUUUGUUAUAAUAUAACCAGGAAAUUUUUCUCCUCUGCAA